rnacentral:lncRNA from 1 species
CUGGUGGUAUUUGAGGUCAAAGACUAAGAGCUGACUAUUAGACUAUUAUGGUCUAAAAGAGGAAGUCGUAAAAGCUGGCCCAUAGUAGAACGUAGCAUUGUUGGGAAAAGACUGUAGUUAAAGUCUUUUAGAGAUGCUGUGUCUAUUCAAGAGUGAGAUUCCAGGGUGGGCACAUUAGCUUUUGGAUGCCCGCUUAAGCCGCUUUGCCCAGUAGUGAAGUGUAUGGGUGUCUAUAACAAUGGGACUUUGUCUAAAGCAAUGAAGCUAUACAGCCAAGUUGCCCUUGGUUUAGUGUUUCACAACGCACUCAAAAGCAGGGGCUUUACCCUUAUUUCUAAAUUUAUAUCGAUUUUUCUUUUGAGACCAAAGCACUUCUUUGGGAGGAAGAAGAAUACGAAGUUUUGUAUUUUGACAUUUUAUUUAAAACAGUCCAUAAGAGCAAAUAGUUGUUUAUCUACCUGAAAGCUGUUUUUCUUCUUCUGCUUCUUUGGGAGGGGAGAGCCUCGCACAUACCAGACAAGUGCCGUCCUGUGGCGCUGCACACCCCGGCCCUCUCAUUUCUUCUUGACAGUAUCAUCCUAAGGUUCACCCCAGCACGUCUGGAUACGAAAAUGAUUCUGUAGUUUGUCUUUGGGAAUGUGUGUUCUUUUUUUCUUUCCUUUUCUUUUUCUUUUUCUUUUUUUUUUCCCUCAAAUCCCCAAAGGGGAAAAACAAUAGGAGCAUUGAAGUUAAAAUAAUAACUUUAAACUUUAAAAAAAAAAUAACUGGUUAAAAUCAUAGGAACAUUAAAGUGUUAAAUGCCAACCAAUUCAUUGUACUUCAGUGUCUCCAUGAAGUCACACCUCUUUAGGUCUGGAAGCUUUAACCUGCACAAUAGCCCGUGAAACCCAAGGGGGACUGUUUAGGUCUGAAAGGAGGCAGGUCCUGGCCUGCCUCUGUCACGUGGGCAUCUUCAAAGAAAACAUUUCCAGUGAGGCCGCCUGGUAGAUUGUGCUAUAAUUUUAAAUGAUGGUCUCAAUGUCCUUGACCUGACUUGUUGAGGACAGGGUGAAAAUCGGGGUGGGAUGGAGCCACUUUGUCAGGGGAAACUGAACCCACUCCCUUAACUUUCUCUCUACAGAGAGAAGGAUAGUUCACCACGAGCUGCUGUGAGUUUUGGUGACUUCUAUGUGUGUUGCUGGUGUUACAGGUCAAUGGAGAUGAGGCUGCAGUACAAACUCUGUUCCGUUUGUCCUGGAUUUUGUUCUGUAUACCUUUAAUGCUGACACCUGCGGGUUGACUGUGCGAGACCCAUCAUGAGAAUGUUAUUUAAAGUUGUAUUAUAAUGUCACCUCCACUAAUUAUUCAGUACUGUAGCAGCAAUGUAUUAUUUGUAAGAAUUUGGUUAUUUUUAUACUUAUAUCCACUCUAAGUCUGGCGUUCUAGUCAGCAAAAAAAAAAAAAAAAAUGCAAUAAAAUUAGUAAGGUUCCCAUUGGUUUUCUCUUAAAACAAGC